ACAAGUCAAGCUCCGAAGUCCGAAACUCGGAACCCGAUAAACAUAAAAAGCCCGCAAGUGUCUGGAAAAUUCUCUCAACUUCUUAAACACUUGACCUAAAUCGUUCCAUUUAUUCACGGCCUCCAGACUCCAGUCCUUCAACAUCUCAAAUCUUAGAAUCUGUUGUUUUUAAUGGUGAUAUAAUAUAUGAGUACAUGCGCGGUUCAGCUUCACGUUCACUAAUAAAAACUAUUGAGAAACAAUUUCACCAGUUUCAAGGAGCAUGGGGUGGAAUUGGUCCUUCAUUGGAGCCAAAAAAGAAUGGAAAUGAAGAGAGUGGUAAGGCAAAGAGAACAGUUGCAGAUGAGAAGGCCACUGACCAAAUUGUGGCCUUCAGCAGGCCGCCACAGCUACCUCCCAUCCUUGGGCCGCUUCUUGCCCUGACUAUGUUGGACUCGUGGUCGAAACAGGACAGCAAUAGAAAUGCCUAAGUUUGUUCUGGCAGAGUGUUAGGUUCUUCCUCAGUUUCCAUGACUGAGGUAUCAUCAUUAUCAGUGUCAGUUGGUGGUGAAGUUUUAUCGAUGUUAGUUGAUGAUGACUUUGUAUCAAUGUCGGUUGAUGUUGAGUUAUUAUUGAAAAAUCUUGAAAUGAGGUGCAGAAAACUCAUCACGGAGCCAAGUGUUCGAGCCAUAAUUUUACAUAGAGUGAUGUACACUGUUAGAAUUGGGUUUACAAUGGGGCUUAAGAAUAGGCCGUAUAUGUUAAGCACUGCCUGAAGAAUGAUAUGUGGACUCUUUAGGAACCCUGUAAUUUGAUGCAUAUGCAUUGUCAGUUGUAUAUAAUACUUGACUUAUGAAACUUAAGAAACAUAAUGGAAUCAGAAGCUUUUCAUUA